rnacentral:rRNA from 1 species
GGCAGCCGCGGUAAUUCCAGCUCCAAUAGCGUAUAUUAAAGUUGUUGCAGUUAAAAAGCUCGUAGUUGAAUUUCGGGGUCAGUAGGUCGGUCGUGCCACUGGUAUGAACUGGUUUUACUGAUUCCUCCCUCUUGAAGAACUGUAAUGCCAUUAAUUUGGUGUUGCAGGGAAUCAGGACUGUUACUUUGAAAAAAUUAGAGUGUUUAAAGCAGGCUUUAGCUUGAAUACAUUAGCAUGGAAUAAUGAAAUAGGACGUUUGAUCCUAUUUUGUUGGUUUCUAGGAUUGACGUAAUGAUUAAUAGGGAUAGUUGGGGGCAUUAGUAUUCAAUUGUCAGAGGUGAAAUUCUUGGAUUUAUUGAAGACUAACUACUGCGAAAGCAUUUGCCAAGGAUGUUUUCAUUAAUCAAGAGCGAAAGUUAGGGGAUCGAAGACGAUCAGAUACCGUCGUAG